rnacentral:rRNA from 1 species
CAGUCGAACGAUGAAGCCUUUCGGGGUGGAUUAGUGGCGAACGGGUGAGUAACACGUGGGCAAUCUGCCCUUCACUCUGGGACAAGCCCUGGAAACGGGGUCUAAUACCGGAUACGACCUGCCUCCGCAUGGGGGUGGGUGGAAAGCUCCGGCGGUGAAGGAUGAGCCCGCGGCCUAUCAGCUUGUUGGUGGGGUAAUGGCCUACCAAGGCGACGACGGGUAGCCGGCCUGAGAGGGCGACCGGCCACACUGGGACUGAGACACGGCCCAGACUCCUACGGGAGGCAGCAGUGGGGAAUAUUGCACAAUGGGCGAAAGCCUGAUGCAGCGACGCCGCGUGAGGGAUGACGGCCUUCGGGUUGUAAACCUCUUUCAGCAGGGAAGAAGCGAGAGUGACGGUACCUGCAGAAGAAGCGCCGGCUAACUACGUGCCAGCAGCCGCGGUAAUACGUAGGGCGCAAGCGUUGUCCGGAAUUAUUGGGCGUAAAGAGCUCGUAGGCGGCUUGUUGCGUCGGAUGUGAAAGCCCGGGGCUUAACCCCGGGUCUGCAUUCGAUACGGGCAGGCUAGAGUGUGGUAGGGGAGAUCGGAAUUCCUGGUGUAGCGGUGAAAUGCGCAGAUAUCAGGAGGAACACCGGUGGCGAAGGCGGAUCUCUGGGGCAUUACUGACGCUGAGGAGCGAAAGCGUGGGGAGCGAACAGGAUUAGAUACCCUGGUAGUCCACGCCGUAAACGUU